CAAUCCUUAAGCCCUGUAGCUUAGCGUUGGGGGCCUGCGUCUCCGGGCGCAGCCCCUGAAAGUGAGUGGCGGUGUUAGGGCAUCCUCUAAGCGUAGUAACUCUUCUCGCUUCUGUAGGUGCGCUGACGGCCUGCCGUAAAACCCCCCUAUAUUUCUAGUGG
rnacentral:misc_RNA from 1 species